GGUGUAGUAGCUCCUCAGUUGGUAGAGCCCCCGGCUCAUAACUGGGAGUGCGGUGGUUCGAUCCCACCUGUCACCA
rnacentral:tRNA from 1 species